CCUACGGGCGACUGCAGUGGGGAAUAUUGCACAAUGGGCGCAAGCCUGAUGCAGCCAUGCCGCGUGUGUGAAGAAGGCCUUCGGGUUGUAAAGCACUUUCAGCAGGGAGGAAGGCGGUGAGGUUAAUAACCUCAUCGAUUGACGUUACCCGCAGAAGAAGCACCGGCUAACUCCGUGCCAGCAGCCGCGGUAAUACGGAGGGUGCAAGCGUUAAUCGGAAUUACUGGGCGUAAAGCGCACGCAGGCGGUCUGUCAAGUCGGAUGUGAAAUCCCCGGGCUCAACCUGGGAACUGCAUUCGAAACUGGCAGGCUAGAGUCUUGUAGAGGGGGGUAGAAUUCCAGGUGUAGCGGUGAAAUGCGUAGAGAUCUGGAGGAAUACCGGUGGCGAAGGCGGCCCCCUGGACAAAGACUGACGCUCAGGUGCGAAAGCGUGGGGAGCAAACAGGAUUAGAUACCCCUGUAGUC
rnacentral:rRNA from 1 species